rnacentral:rRNA from 1 species
UACGUAGGGCGCAAGCGUUAUCCGGAAUUAUUGGGCGUAAAGAGCUCGUAGGCGGUUUGUCACGUCUGCUGUGAAAACUCGGGGCUUAACCCCGGGCCUGCAGUGGGUACGGGCAGACUAGAGUGCGGUAGGGGAGAGCUGGAAUUCCGUGGUGUAGCGGUGAAAUGCGCAGAUAUCAAGGAGGAACACCGGUGGCGAAGGCGGGUCUCUGGGCAACACUGACGCU